GAUGAACGCUGGCGGUAUGCUUAACACAUGCAAGUCGAACGGUCUCUUCGGAGAUAGUGGCGGACGUGUGAGUAACGCGUGAGAAUCUGGCUCUAGGUCUGGGACAACCACUGGAAACGGUGGCUAAUACCGGGUGUGCCGAAAGGUGAAAGGUUAACUGCCUGGAGAUGAGCUCGCGUCUGAUUAGCUAGUUGGUAGGGUAAAGGCUUACCAAGGCGACGAUCAGUAGCUGGUCUGAGAGGACGAUCAGCCACACUGGGACUGAGACAC
rnacentral:rRNA from 1 species